CCUACGGGGCGCAGCAGUGGGGGAUAUUGCACAAUGGGGGAAACCCUGAUGCAGCGACGCCGCGUGAGUGAAGAAGUAUUUCGGUACGUAAAGCUCUAUCAGCAGGGAAGAAUAAUGACGGUACCUGACUAAGAAGCCCCGGCUAACUACGUGCCAGCAGCCGCGGUAAUACGUAGGGGGCAAGCGUUAUCCGGAUUUACUGGGUGUAAAGGGUGCGUAGGUGGCAGGGCAAGUCAGAUGUGAAAGCCCGGGGCCCAACCCCGGUACUGCAUUUGAAACUGUCCGGCUGGAGUGCAGGAGAGGUA
rnacentral:rRNA from 1 species